CCUCACCAAUGCUGAGGUCGUCCGCAGGGAGCUGCGAUGUGGCCGAGCACUUAGCGUUGUGGAAGACUACUCCAGUGCCGUCUACCCUUAUCUGAGUGACGUGUUCUGUACUGGCAGUGAAGACUUCUUGUGGCAAUGUUCAUUUCGAGAAGGAGGCUGCAGGAACAACACAAGCGUUAGGGUCACAUGUGCAGAAUCUGGACUGUUGAGACCAACAGGUAAUUUUGAAUUAAUACAACAUCUGCAAAAGACGUUAUUCAUAUCCAGCUGUGAAAUAUAAAUGAGUUUGUUUUCCUAUUGUAAGACAUUGGUUCACUUUUUAAAGCACAACAUUGGGGGUUUUUUUGCAUAGCCCAACACAUUGGAAUAAAAUAAUAUUAGGAAAUCCUCUGAUUGUGCGAUUUAUCAUUAUGAACAUUAGUCAUUUACAUGUUUUCCUAGAACAGCAGAAAAGUGUUAUCUAAACAAAUCUAUUUCCAUCUUGAUCAAUAACAAUGUGUAUAAUAUCUAAUAGAUUUAAUAUAGACUUUGUUCCAAAUAUUAAAGUUAAGUCACAGUGUUAUAAUACCUCUCCUCAUUUUCCUUUGUAUAUUAAAAAUCCUUCUUUCUUCA